GCCUGAGUGGCUCAGUCGGUUGAGCAUCUGAUUUUGGCUCAGGUCAUGAUCUCUCAGUUUGAGGGUGCGAGUCCCGCAUCUGGCU
rnacentral:tRNA from 1 species